UCUGCUGUAGCGCAGUCGGUUGUCGCGCCGUCUGUCAAUAGACAAGUCGCGGGUUCGAUUCCCCCUCGCACCA